GGCAAGAAUUUGGAGAGACUAACGUUAAAAAUGAGAGGCUGCUGGAGUUCUCAAUCCAAAAAAACUACACAGGAGCUCAUGGAUUGGGAGCCAAAGCUUGGUGUGUUGUACUGAACUCUGAGCAGCAAACUCUUCCCCUUCAGACAUGAAUUCCCUUCCCAGUUGUGUUUUGCAGUGCUCCAUCUCAGCAGACCCUGCACUGAGCCUCUCCCUCUGCAGCCACGCUGAAGCAGAGAGGUUAUCCCAGCCGUUACCAUGGCUCCCAGGAAUGCAGAGAGAAGGAAAAUGGCAAGAUUAAAGGCAAGAUUUUCAUUUUGUUUGGAGUGUCUUCUCAGAUGGCACAAGUUUUCAAGUGACCACCUCCCUGAAAGAGGCACCAGCAAAUGACAACAGCUGCCAUUCCAGCAACACUUGGGAGCAGAUCCAGGAAUCAGAAACAGUUCAGAAAGAGAGUUACAAGGGAAAAAAAAA